GGGCCGUUGGCGCAGCGGUAGCGCGCUUCCCUGACACGGAAGAGGUCACUGGUUCGAUCCCAGUACGGCCCA
rnacentral:tRNA from 1 species